rfam:Schistosoma mansoni strain Puerto Rico chromosome 6, complete genome
AUCUAGCUGACGAGUCCCAAAAAGGACGAAACGCGCGUCCUGGAU